GGGCGGGGCGGGGCCGGCGUGGGCGGGAGGCUGCUGCUCGAGCGGGGCCGGGGGCACACGCCGCGGACACCGGGCCCCCGGACCUGGCAGCCCGUCUGUGGCCUGAGGGGGCUCCCCUGGUUUCCGGCCACGCAGCAGCGCCUGUGCUGACCGUGAGGUCGCUCCAAGAUGGGCCCACGCCUGGCCUGGGAGCCUGUCCAGGUCCCUGCCCCAGGGCACUGCCCUCGUCCCCUGGGCCCCACCGCAGCCACACACAGACCCCAGACCUUCCAGCGAUCUCCCCUGGCCCCUUCCCUCAACAUGUAAACACACUUGGGCCUCUGUUGUCUGGAGAAGAAGCGUUGGACCCCAGCCCCAGGUGACAUCCAGAACGGCACGCUGGCCACCUGCCCUCUGCAUUUCCUCACGCCCUCUGCCCUCUGCUCUGGGGGCUCCGCACCUGUGCUGGGAGGUCACGCUAACCCAGUUUCUCUGGCGUUGGGAAGGGCUGGCUGCCGCCUCACCAAGUCCACUGGUGAACCCGCUGAUGCCCAGGCCACCUGCCUGUGUCUUGAUCGCUGACUUCAGCUCACGGUUCUCGCAGAUGAGCCGCACCAGCUUCUUCAGUUCCUCAUUCUCCCGUACCAGCCUCUCGAUCUGAUACCGAAGCCCCUCAUAGUUGCUGUGUGUGCGAACCAAAGAGGAGGGUAUGGCCAGGAGAGCCGCAGCCUUCUGCCAGCCCCAACUGCACCAAUUCCUGGAGACGCUGUUGAGUGGACCUGGCCCUGGACAUUUCGACACAUGGACCAGCGAUGGCCGGCCCGUCUGGCACCUUGGGGAAAAGGCCUGGAAGAUGGCCUCCUGUGUGUUCCUGGAGUAGCAGCAGAGUGGCCCCCAAAGAUCACCGUAGUGUACCCAGAACGUCAGGGAUGUUAUUUUCUCCUACAGUCCUGUGGCCUGGAUGCGCCCCUGGCGGCAGCUGCUGUGUGAUGACCAACUCUGAGCUUCCUGCCUGCUUAGCUGGUGACUGCCUGUGGGAUGGGCAAGAGGUGGACUCAACCUGCCUAGGGCUUUGACUCUAGGUGAAGCCUCCGGCUUGAGGAUUAUCAUGAUUUUAUUGCUGUUGCUAUUGUAUGUUAUUAGCCUGAUCGCAAUGCUCCAGUUUUCUCACCCAAGGGCCAUUGCGGAAGAGGGGGAAUGUGGAGAUUGUGAGGCAAGAUUUCUGGAGGGGUGGGCUGUGGGUACAAUUGCAGUAUUUCCGGAAUGUCUCUCCUUUGGCUUUCGUGCAUCUGCAUAUCAAUUGGUGUUUCUAAGGGGUGGAUAGAAUUAGUUCAUUUACAUAUUAACAGGUAAUUGCAAGGGCGUGGGAGGGUUUAUCUGGACUGCAGAGGUUGGGUGGAGCUCUCUUCUGCUGCAGCCGGGUCAAAAGAGAGACAGGACCACUGCUUGUAAGAAAUAAACGGGUUUCUUUUUUUUUUUUUCUACUUUUAAAAAAAUUUUGGUGUCAUUAAUAUACAGUUACAUGAGCAACAUUGUGGUUACUAGAUUCCCCCCAU